rnacentral:rRNA from 1 species
ACUCCUACGGGAGGCAGCAGUAGGGAAUCUUCCACAAUGGGCGCAAGCCUGAUGGAGCAACACCGCGUGAGUGAAGAAGGGUUUCGGCUCGUAAAGCUCUGUUGUUAAAGAAGAACACGUAUGAGAGCAACUGUUCAUACGUUGACGGUAUUUAACCAGAAAGUCACGGCUAACUACGUGCCAGCAGCCGCGGUAAUAC